GGCGCGAUGGCUUAGUUGGUUAAAGCGUCUGUCUAGUAAACAGGAGAUCCCCGGUUCGAAUCCGGAUGGGGCCU